rnacentral:lncRNA from 1 species
UAUUCAAUAAUUAAUAUCUUAAAAUCAAGAUUUAUGACAGUAGAUGAAUCGAAAACAUCUAAAAAGUUUAUGCAUACGAAUCAGAAGUUUUUUUUAAAAAAUUUGCUAUAUGAAUAUCAAGUAGUUCCAAGAAUCAAUGGAUAUAAGAAGAGGUGUUUUCUUGGUUCAUAAAAACUGGCGCCUAAAAGUUCAUGAUGUUUAACAGCGUAAAAUCUUUCCAAUGCCAGAAAAUGCAUAUAACAUUUGGAAUUGUCAGUAUAAUAUAUUUUAUGUAAUGAGAAAGUAAAAAAAAAUAUUUUAUUUUUUUUCAUAGAUAAUUAAUAUCGUUUUAUACUCAGCGUGCUGAGUUGAUUAUAAUAUAAUUUCUACAAUCUCACUAAAAGGCAGAGAAUCAUGCCUCUAUAUAAUUUUUUCCCCACUAGUUCUACUCCUAUUUUUAGAC